UGUCUUUAUGGCAAAUGUGAGAUGCAGUGUAUGGAAUGUCAAAUUUCUAGUAUGAGAAAUUAACGAUUUAAGUCCUUCUUAAAUGAGGCCAUUUACCCAAAGAGGGUGCCAGGCCCGUAUAACGUUAAUGAUUACUAGAUGACAUUUCCAAAGAGUCGUGUUGCUUGAUAGUGCAGCACUAAGUGGGUGGUAAACUCCAUCUAAAACUAAAUAUAACCAUGAGACCGAUAGUAAACAAGUACCGUGAGGGAAAGUUGAAAAGAACUCUGAAUAGAGAGUUAAAUAGUACGUGAAACUGCUUAGAGGUUAAGCCCGAUGAACCUGAAUAUCCAUUAUGGAAAAUUCAUCAUUAUGAUUUUAAUAUUUAUAAUAUUAUAAUAAUGGUGUGCAUUUUUUCCAUAUAAGGACAUUGUAAUCUAUUAACAAUACAAAAUUUAUCAUAAGAUCAAUUGCUUUAGUUUAUUCAAAUUAUUUUGCUUGCAAUUUAACAUAGAAUAAAUGCUUUUGAUUUGAUAAAGUGUUGAUAGAUUUAUUAUAUAUAGUGCUUGAAUAUAUUUUUAUAUAUUCUGUAAUAACGUAUUGAUCAAUGAUUUUUAUGUUCAUUACAUGCACUUAUAUGAUUAACAAUGCGAAAGAUUCAGGAUACCUUCGGGACCCGUCUUGAAACACGGACCAAGGAGUCUAACAUAUUUGCAAGUUAUUGGGAAUUAAAAACCUAAUAGCAAAAUUAACAUAACUUAUAUAAUGGGAUUAAUUUUUAGUUCUAUUUUUAAUAGUCUAUUAAUUCAAUCCCGGGGCGUUCUAUGCAGUUAUGCAUAAUAAUAUUUAUAUUAUUUAUGCCUCUAACUAGAGCGUACCUUGAGCAUAUAUGCUGUGACCCGAAAGAUGGUGAACUAUACUUGAUCAGGUUGAAGUCAGGGGAAACCCUGAUGGAAGACCGAAACAGUUCUGACGUGCAAAUCGAUUGUCAGAAUUGAGU
rnacentral:rRNA from 1 species